ACAUAACAAUAGUUAAGAAAAUACGUGAGAUUCUUCGUUUCACAAAAGGAGGCUUCCAUUGUUAUCUCCGCAACGGUCAUUGACAGAUUGACCUUUUUGUCCUCUCCUCCAGUGACCAUGACCCGGCCAGAUUUUUUUCCAAAGGCUAAGCAACGAACACUGGCUCCAUGGGCCAUGAACUCUUCUAGUAAAUGUAAACAAAAGUGAAAGGACCCGGAUUUAAAACAGGCUAGACUCAAAUUUUGUACUGGAUACAUUUCACCAAGUUUACCCGAUGUUGCAGGACCCGGAUUUAAAACAGGCUAGACUCAAAUUUUGUACUGGAUACACUUCACCAAGUUUACCCGAUGUCGCAGGACCCGGAUUUAAAACAUGCUAGACUCAAAUUUUGUACUGGAUACAUUUCACCAAGUUUACCCGACGUUGUAGGACCCGGAUAUUAAUCAGAAAUUGUUUUUGUAAUUAAACUUCACAUUUUAUUGAC